AGUGGGAUAGCUGGGUUCAAAUGGUGGAUCCAUUUUCCAAGAAAUCUCCAUACUGCUUUCCAGAGUGGUUGUACCAAUUUGCAGUCCCACCAGCAAU
rnacentral:pre_miRNA from 1 species